rnacentral:rRNA from 1 species
UACGAAGGGGGCUAGCGUUGCUCGGAAUUACUGGGCGUAAAGCGCACGUAGGCGGCUUUCUAAGUCGGAGGUGAAAUCCUGGAGCUCAACUCCAGAACUGCCUUCGAUACUGGAGAGCUCGAGUCCGGGAGAGGUGAGUGGAACUGCGAGUGUAGAGGUGAAAUUCGUAGAUAUUCGCAAGAACACCAGUGGCGAAGGCGGCUCACUGGCCCGGUACUGACGCUGAGGUGCGAAAGCGUGGGGAGCAAACAGG